UACGAAGGGGGCUAGCGUUGCUCGGAAUUACUGGGCGUAAAGCGCGCGUAGGCGGACCUGCAAGUCGGGGUGAAAGCCCGAGGCUCAACCUCGGAACUGCCUUCGAUACUGCGGGUCUCGAGUUCGGGAGAGGUGAGUGGAAUUCCUAGUGUAGAGGUGAAAUUCGUAGAUAUUAGGAAGAACACCAGUGGCGAAGGCGGCUCACUGGCCCGGUACUGACGCUGAGGCGCGAAAGCGUGGGGAGCAAACAGG
rnacentral:rRNA from 1 species